GACGAACGCUGGCGGCGUGCCUAAUACAUGCAAGUAGAACGCAGUUGCGAACGGGUGAGUAACGCGUAGGUAACUGCCUCAUAGUGGGGGAUAACUAUCGGAAACGAUAGCUAAUACCGCAUACUGUGAGAUGGACCUGCGUGGCAUUAGCUAGUGGGUGGGGUAAAGGCUCACCAAGGCGACGAUACAUAGCCGACCUGAGAGGGUGUUCGGCCACACUGGGACUGAGACACGGCCCAGACUCCUACGGGAGGCAGCAAUGGGGAAUCUUCGGCAAUGGACGGAAGGCUUGCCGAGCAACGGCGCGUGAGAGGAGGAGGUUUUCGGAUCGUAAAGCUCUGUUGUGAGAGGAGCGGUAACUAACCAGAAAGGGACGGCUAACUACGUGCCAGCAGCCGCGGUAAUUC
rnacentral:rRNA from 1 species